rnacentral:rRNA from 1 species
AUUCCAGCUCCAAUAGUGUAUAUUAAAGUUGUUGCAGUUAAAACGCUCGUAGUCGGAUUUCGGGGCGGGCCGACCGGUCUGCCGAUGGGUAUGCACUGGCCGGCGCGUCCUUCCACCCGGAGACCGCGCCUACUCUUAACUGAGCGGGCGAGGGAGACGGGUCUUUUACUUUGAAAAAAUCAGAGUGUUUCAAGCAGGCAGUCGCUCUUGCAUGGAUUAGCAUGGGAUAAUGAAAUAGGACUCUGGUGCUAUUUUGUUGGUUUCGAACACCGGAGUAAUGAUUAACAGGGACAGUCAGGGGCACUCGUAUUCCGCCGAGAGAGGUGAAAUUCUCAGACCAGCGGAAGACGAACCACUGCGAAAGCAUUUGCCAGGGAUGUUUUCAUUA